rnacentral:rRNA from 1 species
GAUGAACGCUGGCGGCGUGCCUAAUACAUGCAAGUCGAGCGAACGGACGAGAAGCUUGCUUUUCUGAUGUUAGCGGCGGACGGGUGAGUAACACGUGGAUAACCUACCUAUAAGACUGGGAUAACUUCGGGAAACCGGAGCUAAUACCGGAUAAUAUUUUGAACCGCAUGGUUCAACAGUGAAAGACGGUCUUGCUGUCACUUAUAGAUGGAUCCGCGCUGCAUUAGCUAGUUGGUAAGGUAACGGCUUACCAAGGCAACGAUGCAUAGCCGACCUGAGAGGGUGAUCGGCCACACUGGAACUGAGACACGGUCCAGACUCCUACGGGAGGCAGCAGUAGGGAAUCUUACGCAAUGGGCGAAAGCCUGACGGAGCAAAGCCGCGUGAGUGAUGAAGGUCUUCGGAUCGUAAAACUCUGUUAUUAGGGAAGAACAUAUGUGUAAGUAACUGUGCACAUCUUGACGGUACCUAAUCAGAAAGCCACGGCUAACUACGUG